rnacentral:misc_RNA from 1 species
UCAAACUUGGUCAUUUAGAGGAAGUAAAAGUCGUAACAAGGUUUCCGUAGGUGAACCUGCGGAAGGAUCAUCAUUGAAUCCCAUCUCUACAAACCUUUGUGCACUGUAACUUACGCAGCUGUUGGCAGGUUAAGGCCUUGCCUAGUGCUAGUCUGGUCGGUUGUGCGUUGCGAGCCCGGAUGGCUAUUCCGGAGGAGCGCGUGUUCCUGACGCCUGCCAACAGCUCUGUUUAAUACAAACUUUUGUUGUACCAAUGAAGUCUAAUGUAAAAGUUUUAACAAAAAAACAACUUUCAACAAUGGAUCUCUUGGUUCUCGCAUCGAUGAAGAACGCAGC